UACGAAGGGGGCUAGCGUUGCUCGGAAUCACUGGGCGUAAAGCGCACGUAGGCGGGUCGUUAAGUCGGGGGUGAAAUCCUGGAGCUCAACUCCAGAACUGCCUUCGAUACUGGCGAUCUUGAGUCUGGGAGAGGUGAGUGGAACUGCGAGUGUAGAGGUGAAAUUCGUAGAUAUUCGCAAGAACACCAGUGGCGAAGGCGGCUCACUGGCCCGGUACUGACGCUGAGGUGCGAAAAGCGUGGGGAGCAAACAGG
rnacentral:rRNA from 1 species